rnacentral:rRNA from 1 species
GCUCCACAAGCGUAUGUUAAAGCUGCUGCAGUUAAAACGCUCGUAGUUGUGGUUUCGUUAGCUGGAAUGUCUGUGUCUCAAAAAGACGCGGGCAGUUUGGCUAAUUACAAAGGAGUGUGUGUGUUAACUCACACAUGCUCAGUAAACCUUGAAGAAAUAUUGACGCUUAACAUUUGACUUAAGUCAAAGUUCUUUUUGCA